CGGCUGUUGCAACUGUUGCUGCGGCAACUGUUGCUGUUGUAACUGUUGCGGCUGUAGCGUCUGCUGUUGCAAGUAUUGUGGCUGCUGCGGUGGCUGUUGUAACUGUAACUGCUGUUGUGGCAACUGUUGUGACUGCUGUGGUGGCUGUUGCAACUGUUGCUGGUGUGGUAAGUAUUGUGGCUGCUGC